UUUUUUUUUUUAAAUUCAUGCCUUGAGCCCAUGCAAUAUGUCUUUGGUUAUGAAAGUUCAAUGAAAUUAUGAUGAUGAAAUAAUGAAAGCAUACAUGUGUAGUAGGGUCAUGGAUCAGAUGAAAGUUAUAUCGGAGUAGGGUGAAUUUUGGGGUAUGACACAUUUGCUCAAGUUGGUAGUAUGGACGCUUUCGAAGCCAUCUCUGUCUUGCUCAUAUAUAGUUUAACAUUGUUCCCUAACAUUGAC
rnacentral:lncRNA from 1 species